UACGUAGGGUGCAAGCGUUGUCCGGAAUUAUUGGGCGUAAAGAGCUCGUAGGCGGUUUGUCGCGUCUGCUGUGAAAACUCGGGGCUUAACUCCGGGCCUGCAGUGGGUACGGGCAGACUAGAGUGCGGUAGGGGAGACUGGAAUUCCUGGUGUAGCGGUGGAAUGCGCAGAUAUCAGGAGGAACACCGAUGGCGAAGGCGGGUCUCUGGGCCGUUACUGACGCUGAGGAGCGAAAGCGUGGGGAGCGAACAGG
rnacentral:rRNA from 1 species